UACGUAGGUGGCAAGCGUUGUCCGGAUUUAUUGGGUUUAAAGGGUGCGUAGGCGGCUUAUUAAGUCAGUGGUGAAAUACUCUAGCUCAACUAGAGGGGUGCCAUUGAUACUGCGGAGCUAGAGUCCGGAAGAGGCGAGUGGAAUUCCUGGUGUAGCGGUGAAAUGCGCAGAUAUCAGGAGGAACACCAAUGGUGAAGGCAGCUCGCUGGGACGGUACUGACGCUGAGGCACGAAAGCUAGGGGGAGCAAACAGG
rnacentral:rRNA from 1 species